rnacentral:rRNA from 1 species
AAUGAACGUUGGCGGUGUGCUUAACACAUGCAAGUCGAGCGGGAAAGUUCUUCGGAAUGAGUACAGCGGCGAACGGGUGAGUAACGCGUGAGGAUCUUCCUUUUAGUGAAGAAUACCCUUGAGAAAUUAAGGUUAAUGCUGCAUACGUCCUAUGUAAAAGUAGGAGAAAGAUGGCUUUUAUGCUGUCGCUAAAAGAUGAACUUGCGUUCUAUUAGCUAGUUGGUGGGGUAAAGGCUCACCAAGGCGAUGAUGGAUAGCCGGCCUGAGAGGGUGAACGGCCACAUUGGAACUGAGAAACGGUCCAGACUCCUACGGGAGGCAGCAGUGAGGAAUAUUGCACAAUGGGCGAAAGCCUGAUGCAGCGACACCGCGUGAAGGAUGAAGGUCUUAGGAUUGUAAACUUCUGUUAAGUGGGAAAAAGAACCAUCUCGAAUAAAGAUGGGUGAUGAUGGUACCACUAAAGAAAGCACCGGCUAACUUCGUGCCAGCAGCCGCGGUAA